CAGCUGAGAUAUGCAGUGGAUAAAUGCAACAAUCAGGCAAUCUUUAAAGAGAAUAGGGAUAAAAUAAGAGACCUGGGCCUUGUUUAUCUUUUUGAUGAGAAAAUGAUGACGUUAUUUCGGGAAAUCAUGGAAAACUGAGACGAUCCGCACUACCUCCCUAGGUCCCUUUCUGUUCAUUAAGCUGUCACAGAACUGGUUAAAACUAGCAUUUACAUCAGCUAGAACUAUCAAAAUAGAUGCAUCAAUUUCUCCACUGGCUACUCCCAAACAAUUUGAACAAUUCAUUCAGGCAGCAAGUGUUUCCACCAAUAAAAUAAAAAGAAUUGAUUUCAUCCAGAAGAACUGUUUGAACUGUGGACUGUUUGAAAUAUUUUGCACCUGCUCAGAAAUCCCUUCACAGCUUGUCUUUGAAUUUGAAAGGCUGUUUUUAAUUAAAUAAAUUUUCUAGAUAACUAA